GCCGGCGUGGCGGAAUAGGUAGACGCACAGGACUUAAAAUCCUGCGGGAGUUAAAUCCCGUACCGGUUCGAUUCCGGUCGCCGGCA
rnacentral:tRNA from 1 species